UGGGGAAUAUUGGGCAAUGGGCGAAAGCCUUACCCAGCAACGCCGCGUGAGGGAAGAAGGUUUUCGGAUUGUAAACCUCUGUCCUGGGGACGAAGGAAGUGACGGUACCCCGGGAGGAAGCCCCGGCUAACUACGUGCC
rnacentral:rRNA from 1 species